GGGAAGCAUGGCCUUCGCCAGGGGGCCCCCGAGGACUGAGCCCGCCUGCUGAGCCCCCCCCCCCCAGAUGGGGAGACAGAGAAAAUUUCACUCUGUCCUGGGGUGUCUUCUGCACCUGGGAACACGGGAACACGUGAUCUAGGAGUGACGACUGUAGUCUAGAUUACUCUAAAACGUCCUGUUGCACUUGUGGAGGGCGCACCCCAAACGUGGCAACACGGCGCUUAGGAAAUAGUGUCUUGGCAGACGUACUUAAGUUAAGGGCCUCCAUAUGAACCAUCCUGGACUAAGGCAGGCCCGUGUCCCAGGACUGGGUGCUUGUAAGACAAGGGACAGGCUCAAGACAGCGGAGGGGCCACGUGGAGGUGCGGCUGCCGUCCAGCCCUGGAGCCGGGGCUGGAACAGGCCGAGGGCGGCCGGCCAUGCAGGUGCUAGGCUUGUGCUCGGAGUGCAGAGGAAUUUCUGCUGCUGCCAACUGCCCGGGCUGUGGUCCUUGUCACAGCCAGGAAACCACAGGACCUUUCUUCCUGACCUGCUUGGCCUCUGGUAGGAGUGUGACCUCCCACUUCCUGUCCCCCACCCAGGUGCACAGAGCUGCAGGCUGGCCAGAGCAGUGGCACCCUAGAGGAGGAGGCCUUCCUGGGGAACCGGCUUUCCCAGAGAGGGAAUGCUUUGGUGAGAAAAACUGGUUCAGUGACUUCCUAAGGCUUUAAAUUUUUAAAUUUAGGAAAAGCAUGUUAUUUCAAGAUUUAAAUUUUUCAACAGCAACUGAAGUAGAAAAUAACUAAACACUGGAGGGAAGGUGAGUGCAGCGUCUCCACGGGAAUCGAUCCAGGAAGGGCCAGCGGCAGAGGGGGCCCGAGGGGUGCUUAGGGGGAGUGCUGCAUCUCUUCCAGACCCUUUGGUCAAUCUGCACUUUCUGACUUUAAAAAUGAGUCAGUUAAUCCGAGGUCCUCAGAGCAGACAUGAAGGCCCAGCUCCUGGCUGCCCAGACGGACCUGUGUGCACAGUCACUACACAGCCAUGCGGCACGGUGGCAGUGAACGUUCUAGAAC
rnacentral:lncRNA from 1 species